UUGAAAUAAACUUGAUAAGUUGUUGCUGGUUCUCUAGGGAGCAUGUGCACACUUGUCAUCUUUGUAUCUCCACCUGUGCACCUUUUGUAGACCUUGGGUAUCUAUCUGAUUGCUUUAGCAACUCAGGAUUGAGGAUUGACUUUCUGUCUCUUCUUACAUUUCCAGGCCUAUGUUUUUCAAAUACCCUAAUGUAUGUUUAUAGAAUGUAAUCAAAUAGGCCUUUGUGCCUAUAAAUUGAUA
rnacentral:misc_RNA from 1 species